UCCGGCAGUCGGUCAUUCCCUGGUACGAUAUUCAUGCUGAGCACUGAGAAGAAGAAACAUUUUACUGCUCUACUAGUUUAGAAGUUUAGAAAAUUGUGUAUUUACUUAUUUUUUAUUAUAUUGUGACACUAGAUGCUCACAGUGGCACGACUGGUUGGAGUCGUCACCCUCACGGUUCUGAGGACCGGGAUUCAAAUCCCAGCCCAGCCUUCGUCAAGUUUGCAUGUUCUCCGCGUGCCUGCGGUCGGGGACAUGCUGGUGGCUGUCUCAACUGACUGGUUGAGAGGAGGAAAACGGAGUACUCUGGAGUAAAGCCACGCAGACAAGCGGGAGACAUGCAAACUUGACACAGGUGAGGCUGGAUUUGAACCCAGGUCCUUCGAACUGAGGCAAAACUCAGAUACGUAUAUUUCCAAUUUUCUGGCUACUGUAAUAAGUUACGUUUUCCCCCAAACAUACCUGCUACCAAGUCGCCAAAUCCAAUUGUAGUCAAAGUGACAAAUGAGAAGUACAAGCCUUCAACAUAUGUCCAACCCUCCUGGGACAUAAACACAAAAGGUGGAAGGACUAAAUGGAUCAGCAGCCCCCAGAGAAGAAAAAUAGCUGUACAGUUAGAUAUUGACCAAAGUGCUUGGCUCGUCCACCAAAGAACUUCCCAAGUUCGCUGAUCCAGGCUGGGGACCAGUUUAGUUCACCUGAAGAUAGCUGGGAGAGGCUGGAACCAAAGUGAAUUAAACGUGCGCAAGAAGAGGAAAGACUUGUGACAGACCUCUUACGGGUGGUUCAAGAAGAACAAUUGUCUUCAUCGUCAAGAACAUGCAGGCAUGCAUGCCUAUGAAACGCGUUCUCUGAAUUUUACCCAUCACAGUGAACAAACAAUGGAACACACUGGACCAGGAGGCAGCUGAAAUACCUGGGGAGCACUUUGGCAUAUUAGUGUCUUGCUCAAGGACACUAAAGAUGUGAAGCCCAAGGAUGGUCCAGUUGGGGUCUUGAAACUUGGUCCCCCCAUUGUGGCAUAUUAACCAUUGGGCCACAGCUGCCAUGGAGUUGCCCAUGACAACAUACCUGCUCACAAUGCCCUGGGCAUUUGAAAGUUCCUGGCCAAGAAGAACCAUGUACUACUGGAGCAACCAAGACUUGGCUCUGUGCGAUUUCCCACCCUCCCCCUUUCCAAAGCUUAAGGGGGGUCAUUAAGAGAACCCAUGUUAAAGAAAUGGAUGACACCAAAAUGUCAAUGAUGAAGGAAAUACAGAGGAACACUGAAUAAUUCCUCCAGGAUUGCACAAAGGUCUGGCAAAGUGCAUUACACUCCAGGGAGAUACUUCCAUGUGUCUGUUAUCUGAGCUGCUCAUCUUCACAAGGGUUGUGGGAGUGCUGGACCCUAUCCCAGCUAGCUUCAGGCAGGAGGCAGGGCACACCCUGAACUGGUCGCCAGCCAAUCGCAGGGCACUGUGCUUCCGGGAGAUACUUCAAAAGCUUGCAGUUUGGAUUUGAAAUAUAUCUUUUGUGAUACACCUCGUAAGAAUUUUUGCUGACUACUGGGAUAACAUGUAGAGAUCGCUCCACUUCUUUCUGUGAGAAGGGCAUGAAUCGCAUGUAUGCAUUUUCAUCUUCCAGAUAAAAAACUGCUGAAUUUCAUGUAAGGCAAAAUGCUGAAUCACAGGAAUACAAUAUGGGCAAAGUACAACCUUUUAAAUAGAGAGGUCAACAUGUUCUCAAGUCAUAUUAUAUCAUACAUCUUUGACCAUCUCAUUCUUCAGCUGAUAUACAGGAUAUCACCAAACACACAAUGUGAAGAGUUGAGCGACCACUGAUCAGACUUUGCAUUGCACUAGGCCUUUUACAAUCUUAAAGAGUCACCCUCUUAUCUUAACGUGACCACUCUAGUGAUGAAUGAUAAGUGAAAACUAAGCCUUUGGGUAUUUCUACUGUGUGUGUGUGUGUGUGUGUGUGUGUGUGUGUGUGUGUAACAUCAAAAGAUUGCAAUUGGAAAAGCUAGUCAAGCAGCACCUCUGAUUUCUGAAUAUUUUGCUCUGGGUGGCUUUUUUGGAGGGGUUUUUUGUGUGAACAUGCAGUGGUGAACCAAACCUGAAUGUGUUGUGUAAUUAAUGCGAUCAUCUGUUCAAAAAUUUUACUGAUAACUGCCAUGUUGCACGAACAGAAGAUUGAUUCUAAAAACAACCAUCAAUUUAGGAAAUUUACGAAAGAAAAAUAGUGUUGUUUUAGCGAGUGAGUGCUCACGCAAAUUGAAAUUGAAAUGAGGAUGAGUUCAGAGCAACAAGAAUGUGGGGGACAGAAAAGGGUAAUCACGCCAAGGCACGUCUGCUGAGUUAAUGGUGCAGUUAAAAGGGGACUUUUCUCUGUUUUCAUGAAAGCUUCAGCUAAAACGCAUGAAAAUUUUAAUUUUGUCUCUCUUUAAUGUAUUAUUAUACAGAUCCAUACAUAUGGGCAGCACAGUGUAGAACUUUGGCCUCACAGGUCUGAGGACCACAGUUCAAAUCCCGGCCCGCCUGUGUGAAGUUUGCAUGUUCUCUCUGUGCCUCCGGGCACUUCGGUUUCCUCUCACAACCCAAAAACCUGCAUUAAUUCAAGACUCUAAAAUGCCCGUAGGUGUGAUUGUGAGCGCGACUGUUCUCUGUCUCUAUGUGUCUUGCAAUUGACCCCUCCGUACAGGGCACUUAACCACGCCUCCUGAAGUGACAUCACGCCACGUGCGCUGACGUAAGACAAACAGUAAAAAUGGCAAAUACAAUACAAUACAUUCUGAACUGAGACAGACUCCAUGCUUCUGAUUUCAUUCAAAUCAACGAUAUAUUAUAGAUUCUAAAUACAAUACAUUCUUAACUGAGAGAGACGCCAUGCUUCUGAUUUCAUUCAAUCAUUCACACGAAGCAAUGUUAUGCUAGCGGAGAACGUCUCAUUCAUUUAUACGAGACGUGUAUUAAAAAUCAAAUUUAGGGCAUAUCUUCGUGCAAACACAGUCUAGUUAAGCUUCUGGCCACGAGCCAGCAAGAAAUCAAUACGUUUCGCAGUCCGAUCAUCGCUAAAUAUCGCUCAACAAAGAAUAAGUGUGUCAAUCGUUCACACGCAGCAGUGUUAUGCUAGCGAAGAACUUCGAAUUCAUUUAUACGAGACGUGUAUUGAAAAUCAAAUAUAGGGCAUACCUUCGUGCAAACAUGUGUUCCGGUUGAUAUUAGAUGGAUUUAGUUGAUGAUGCGGUCUUCCACAAAGUUUGACCCAUCAAAGGCAUUUUUCGUACUGGGUCUUCGGUUUUGGAAAGGGUACAAAUCGAACUCCACCAACUAGCCUUUCAGGAUACCUGUCGUCACUAUUACAAAGUCCAUGACUACACCUCUUAACCAUAUUUUUUGUUAAAUACCCCAAAUACGCGAUAAAACGCGAACUAAACCUAUACUGGACCAUGCAAUGUUGUCUGAGAAAAUGGCGGGAGCAAAAACGGGCUUUGGUUUAUGCAGAUCUCUGGCCUCUGAUUGGUCAGUGACGCGGAUUGCGCAAUAUCCACGGAGGGGUCAAUUGGCUGACAACCAGUUCAGGGUGUACCCUGGCUGCUGCCCGAUGAUAGCUGGGAUAGACUCCAGCACUCCUGUGACUAAGUGAGGAUAAGUGGCUCAGAUAAUGGAUAGGAAAAUAGGCAGUUACUUUUAAAUACAAACCCCCCCCCGCCCCCCCCAAAAAAAAAAUGUUCAACUACACAUGGUUUUUAAUCAAUCAAAAUUCACUGUUAAUUGCUGUUAUGAUACACUGAGUAAUAUGCAAUCUCAUAUUUCAAUGAAUAUAUAUUAUUUAAAGGACAACACUACAUUGUUUAUGUAUUGCCUAAAUGCAAAACAACUAUAAAAUUUUGAAUUAUUCAUGGGGUUUGUCAAAUAGUCAGCUCUCCACAUGACUUGUUUUGCUUGUGGUAUUAGCCCUUCAUGUCACAAGGGUUAGUUACUGCUACUUUAGACGCAAAUUAAAUGACUAACAGGCAUUGGCAACAUAAAAUAGAACUUUGAUAUGGUUUACAAAGAUCUACAUUGAUUUAAAAAUAAGGCGAAAAAUGUGGCUUGAGGUAUGGUGAUAUUCAUGUUAACAAUGAGUAUUAUACUCUAAAAAUGAGGUUAACCCUAGGUAAAACUGCAAAGAAAGGAUUCCUUGAGACGAUUAAAGAAGUGAAACCAUCAACAAAUUGCAACCUUAGCAGUCUGCUGCUGUUAUUCUGAUAAACGAACUGUAAAACUCUUGAUGACAAACUCCAACUAUUAUCUGGUAGCCGAGCACGCCACGCAAUUCCAAGGUAUUUUUCCUCUUCAAGCAUAUGAGCAUGACACAGCCAAGGAGCAACAGCUGCCCUCAGCAAGAUCAACAAGAGUCACAAAAAUGAACUCACGCAUCUAUAAAUAUAUAAUUUUGCAUUUGACUUGUGGUUUGGAGGUUGUUGGGAUGCAAAUACCAUUCAGGAUAACCAAUGUUAUAACUUUAACUGUUUGUUCUAUUGAACAUCCUGCCAUGACACAAAGGGAAACAUACGACAACUGGAAUACGUAGGUGGUGUGUUCAUAUUUCCCAAGUACUUACAGAAAUGUUUGCUGCUGAGCAUAAAAAGGAGACAAGGUAAAGGUUAUGUCAUGUUCACUACGUUUCUCAAUUAGAUGGUCACAAAAAAGAUGUCAGUAAAAACAAGACAAAGCAGAAGAUACUACUCCAUAAACACGUUUUUAAGUGGUUGCUUUAAAGCUCCUUGUUAAAUUUAAUUGUAUUGCAAGAGUUUACCAACUAAACCACGUCCAGAAGCUGUACUUUCUUAUUAAUCUUUUACUGAGUUAAGAUUUAACUACUGCAACCAGCAUGGCAUUUGGAGGGCUCCCCCUACUCCAAAACUGACUGGACCACCAGCUAUGUCUGUCCAAUAUCCUUUGAAGUGGUUGUUCAUCCCUCUUCAUGCUAUGUUCAGAACAAAAGAUGCAAGAAACAAUAAUUCCACUGUCCACGACUGCCGUGGAGAAAGCAACAGAGAGACCGUAAAUAAGAGGCCAGCUUUCUUGAACGCGCCUUUAUGUACGUGCGAUCGACGUUCUGCCACACCUGAAUCAACCGACGAGAUGGGGGGGGUCUUCCCCCCAUUUUGUUCCUGUAAUACACGGGACAUAGUCCAUUGUUGCUGUCGUUGCCAUUGUAACGAGAGUAGCCGGACAUAUUUGAGUUGACAAGGAAUUGGAAUACAAGAUUUUAUUACCAUAGUCUGACAGUGCGAGACAGUAGUCUGACAUACUGCAAUCGUGAAAGAGCAAAUUUGUCUUGAAGUCUGAUCCAAGAAUUACAUUUUGUCUAAAACAUACUGUUUGCUUUUAAACAUAACUAUCAGCGGUCAGGUAUUGUCGAUAUCGUCAAAAGACACGCAAAAAGGAUAAAAGUAAACAGCAUUUGGAUUCAAAUAUAUAUUUUAUUGAUAUAAAAAAAACUGAUAAUAAUUGGGAAAUUUCAUAUUGAAAAAAAAAAAGGACCAUCCUUGAUUUGUAUUACAUUCCAUGUACUGAAUCAUCAUCAAUUGGAGUGACGCACCACCCAUAUAACAGGAUUUCCAUUUAUACAGUUGUCUAUCAGUUAGUAACUGUGCUAACUCAGAAGUAAUAAUUUUAAUAAAAAAAUGUUUGAACAAUAAUCAAAUGAACAACAAAGUGCGGUGAGCAUCUUGUUAAUAGUAUUCGAUUAAACUUAUUCAUGGCAUGCCAUUAGUAACUUCGAAUCCUUUUACAUCGGGACCAUCGGAAGCUAAAACCCGGCUGUUUUUCUUACACUGGUCUGUGUCUUUUGGUGCAGAAUGGCACGAGAGUUCAGAGUGCCAUGAGUGCUCUUGCUUAUUUGGUUUGCACCAGGGUUCAGAUGAUAGCGUUACUAUUUGACCAAAUGGAACACAUUAGCAGAACAACAUUGCCAAGUUUUAUUUUAACCAAACCACAAGUGAUGAGGAAGAGCAAACAUUUCCCAAAUUCUUCUGACCAAAUUUUUUCCUGAGGAACAGAGAUCCAUGAGAGAAAAAUUAAGGCUAAAUCAGCGCUUUGGUUAAAAGCAAAUACUUCAUGGAAAGGGAAAGAAAGAAAGUAGCUGAGAGUCGGGGUAUGCUAUUUCAAGCCAUGUGGCUUAAACUUCACCGUAGGCACAUGACAAAGUUAGCUUGCACAGAAAACAAUGUGUUACUUCAUUCACUGUAGAAGUUUCACUCUGACCAUGGGCUGUUUGAUGAAAAUGAGACAGCAUUGAUAAACAAAUG